GUUUCUAUUCUUGAAGCUCUGCAAAAAUGGCGAUUGAGUAAAGAAUGAUAGAUUUCGAGUGAAUUUUCUCAUCAACAGUGAGGGUUUUGUUAACAUAGUUCGUGUUAGGUUUGUUUUGAUGCUUACUGAGAUUGAGAAAGAGAUGGAGAUACAUGGUAGAUAAAUCGAUAUUUGUGGUAAGAUGAUUGAUGGGUUGUAUGAAUUAAUGGUCUGAGUUAACUUCUGGUUUUGUUGAUUGAUACUGCAAUGUGUAAGGAAGAGAUGAAUAGUCUAUAGUCUGAUUGUGGAUGAACUCUAGUUGUGUUUUUGUGAAGAUUUUCGAGCAAAUCAGGUAACUGUUUGUUGAAUAUUGGGUAUGUUUUGAUUGUUUGUAGUGGUUUUUUAACAAUUUUAGGGAUUUUUUUUCAUAAACUCCAAUUAGGGAAAGGGGGUAUUUUGUAUUUUAUCUGAUGUUCUCUGCUGAUUGGAGUUGAUGUUCUUUAUGGGUAUUUGAGGAGACUCCAGACAUGAAUUCAAUACAGCUGAAGGUGAAGCAACAUGAAUGGAUUCUGGGUAGGGCUUGAUGGAAUUGAUUUGGAGUUGUUGUUGGUGAUUGUAAGAAAAUAAAAGAUGAACUGAAGUACUGAAGCUGGUACUGUUACUGUGUUUGGAGGUGGUGAUGUUCUUUGAGCUAUUGAAGUAUGCUAGUGAUGAAAAGAGAAGGUGUUGGUGGUUGGAGUUGUGAGAGAUUCAGAUGGUGCUAUUGAGUCUGUUGGAUUCAGGGACAAAGAUGGUUGUUGUGUGGUGUUUGAUACAGAAACUAAGAUGGUGGUGUUGUUUAGGUGAAAUUGCAGGAGAUGGAGUGGAGGUGUGGAUUGGUGUGAUGAAUGGAAGAGAGAAAGGACUACAACAAAUGAAUGAGUUUAAGGCUAGAUGUAUGGUAUGGAUUUGAAGCUGUAAACUGAUGGGUUGGAGGAAUUGAAAUUAUGAAGAAGGGGUAUGAGUUCAUGGAAGAGAUAGAUGCAGUUGCAAGGUGUACGUUAGAUUUUGCCAGUAGAAAUUUAUAAAAUUAUAAUCUAAAAGGGUAUAUUAAAUUUUGAAUUUUAGUAAGUUCAAUUUGAUUAUACAGUAGUAUUGAGGUUCAUUUGAUGCUGGAAAAUGGAGUUUUCAUUUGAAUUCAUGUUUACAGUUCUUGUUAUUUUAUCAAGUUUUGACAGGAAAUUUUGUUUGAAAUUGAUUAUAGCCUUCAUUUUGAUUAUAUGAGAACACAAACAUUUUUAUUGGUUUCAAUUUGUAAAGUGUUCAAUUUUGAUAGUGGGGGUGCAACAUUGAGGUUGCUGAGUAGUUUGUAGUGCAAAUAGUUGUUGAAAUGACGAAUUGGAAGAUAAAGAUAAGUUUGUUGCAGGAGUUCUUGCUACAUGGGGCUUGCUUGAGAAGUGGCCGAGAAGCUCCAGAUAUGAAUCGUGAGGGAGAACUCGUUGAUGACUUAAGAGCUGAAGUGAUGGAUGAGCUUUUAAGGGGACGGAAUGAGUUUGAUCAAUGAUGGGUUAAGUUAAUUGAGCUGAUAGGAGUUGCAGCGGCAACCUGAUCCAGUAUGCAAAAUAGUGGUUGAACUAGUUGAUUCUGAGAAGAUUAUGGGAUUUCAGAGAAUGGUGUUGAUGGUCAAGAAGAAGCUGUUACGGCAAUGGAUGUGUGCAAUUUUAGAUGGCUCAAAUGUCAUUGUUUGAGAAUGUGCAGGAGCUGAAAUGCUUGUGGAAGGGAUAUAGAGCAAAAUGAGCCAGUCUGCUAGGUGCUGGUUACAAGAUGCCACCACGUCAGCGAUUGGUUAACUGUGGUUAACAUUCACUUGAGUUAAGAGUGAGGGUAUUUUGGGGACAACUAACCCCGUUUUUUUGGAGAACUGUUAUGUCGGACCAAGUAGGAUCAUUUUGUAACCAAUUUACAAAAGUAUGAUCAGUUUGUAACUGAAUUAUAAAAAGUAUGAUCAUUUUGUAAAUGGCCGUAUGUAUAAUCAGCAGUCUCACUUUACUAAAUUUGCUAUCUAAUGAUUCGUACACCUAUUAGCUGAAAAGUAACAUUGUACGAAUCUUUCCUAGGGGUGGGCUUCUUGUCUUUACGCUUUUUAUUCUUGUAUCCUUUUGGAAAAGUUACUUGAUUAGUUAUUGAUAUCUAAUAUCAAUAUCAUUAUGUAAGUCAUUAUGUAAGGGAAGAAAAGGUGUCUAAUGUACAGUGAUCUAAAAGAAAUGGGACGGAGAUUAAAAGAAAACACUAA